UACGUAGGGACCAAGCGUUGUUCGGAUUUACUGGGCGUAAAGGGCGCGUAGGCGGCGUGGUAAGUCAGCUGUGAAAUCUCCGAGCUUAACUCGGAACGGUCAGCUGAUACUGCUGUGCUAGAGUGCAGAAGGGGCAAUCGGAAUUCUUGGUGUAGCGGUGAAAUGCGUAGAUAUCAAGAGGAACACCUGAGGUGAAGACGGGUUGCUGGGCAGUUGCUGACACUGAGGCGCGACAGCGUGGGGAGCAAACAGG
rnacentral:rRNA from 1 species